rnacentral:rRNA from 1 species
GAUGAACGCUGGCGGCGUGCCUAAUACAUGCAAGUCGAGCGAACAGACGAGGAGCUUGCUCCUCUGACGUUAGCGGCGGACGGGUGAGUAACACGUGGAUAACCUACCUAUAAGACUGGGAUAACUUCGGGAAACCGGAGCUAAUACCGGAUAAUAUAUUGAACCGCAUGGUUCAAUAGUGAAAGACGGUUUUGCUGUCACUUAUAGAUGGAUCCGCGCCGCAUUAGCUAGUUGGUAAGGUAACGGCUUACCAAGGCAACGAUGCGUAGCCGACCUGAGAGGGUGAUCGGCCACACUGGACCUGAGACACGGUCCAGACUCCUACGGGAGGCAGCAGUAGGGAAUCUUCCGCAAUGGGCGAAAGCCUGACGGAGCAACGCCGCGUGAGUGAUGAAGGUCUUCGGAUCGUAAAACUCUGUUAUUAGGGAAGAACAAAUGUGUAAGUAACUAUGCAAGUCUUGACGGUACCUAAGCAGAAAGCCACGGCUACCUACGU